rnacentral:rRNA from 1 species
GAUGAACGCUGGCGGCGUGCCUAAUACAUGCAAGUCGAGCGAACAGAUGAGGAGCUUGCUCCUCUGACGUUAGCGGCGGACGGGUGAGUAACACGUGGAUAACCUACCUAUAAGACUGGGAUAACUUCGGGAAACCGGAGCUAAUACCGGAUAAUAUAUUGAACCGCAUGGUUCAAUAGUGAAAGACGGUUUUGCUGUCACUUAUAGAUGGAUCCGCGCCGCAUUAGCUAGUUGGUAAGGUAACGGCUUACCAAGGCAACGAUGCGUAGCCGACCUGAGAGGGUGAUCGGCCACACUGGAACGGAGACACGGUCCAGACCCCUACGGGAGGCAGCAGUAGGGAAUCUUCCGCAAUGGGCGAAAGCCUGACGGAGCAACGCCGCGUGAGUGAUGAAGGUCUUCGGAUCGUAAAACUCUGUUAUUAGGGAAGAACAAAUGUGUAAGUAACUAUGCACGUCUUGACGGUACCUAAUCAGAAAGCCACGGCUAACUACGUG